rnacentral:rRNA from 1 species
GACAGAGGAUGCAAGCGUUAAUCGGAAUUACUGGGCGUAAAGCGUGCGUAGACGGUUACAUAAGUCGGGUGUGAAAGCCCCGGGCUCAACCUGGGAAUUGCAUUCGAGACUGCGUAGCUAGGGUGCGGAAGAGGGAAGCGGAAUUUCCGGUGUAGCGGUGAAAUGCGUAGAUAUCGGAAGGAACACCAGUGGCGAAAAGCGGCUUCCUGGUCCAGCACCGACGUCAGGCACGAAAGCGUGGGGAGCAAACAGG